AGAGUUUGAUCCUGGCUCAGGACGAACGCUGGCGGCGUGCUUAACACAUGCAAGUCGCACGGGCCCGCAAGGGUCAGUGGCGAACGGGUGCGUAACACGUGAGGAACCUGUCCAACGGUGGGGGAUAGCCGGUCCAACGACCGGGUAAUACCGCGUACGACCUUCGAGGGGCAUCCCUUGAAGGUGAAAGCAGCAAUGCACCGGUGGAGGGCCUCGCGGCCUAUCAGCUAGUUGGUGAGGUAAUGGCUCACCAAGGCUACGACGGGUAGCUGGUCCGAGAGGAUGACCAGCCACAUUGGGACUGAGGCACGGCCCAGACUCCUACGGGAGGCAGCAGUGGGGAAUAUUGCGCAAUGGGCGAAAGCCUGACGCAGCGACGCCGCGUGUGGGAUGACGGCCUUCGGGUUGUAAACCACUGUCGGGAGGGACGAAAUCAAUGACGGUACCUCCAAAGGAAGCACCGGCUAACUCUGUGCCAGCAGCCGCGGUAAU
rnacentral:rRNA from 1 species